CGGCCUAUACAUGCAAGUCGAACGGUGUCUUCGGACAUAGUGGCGCACGGGUGCGUAACACCUAUGCCACCUACCUUACAUUGGGGGAUAGCCUUUCGAAAGGGAGAUUAAUACCGCAUAAGACAGUAACUAGGCAUCUAGUAGCUGUUAAAGAUUUAUCGAUGUAAGCUGGGCAUGCGACCAAUUAGCUAGUUGGUGAGGUAAUGGCUCACCAAGGCUAUGAUUGGUAGGGGAACUGAGAGGUCAAUCCCCCACACUGGCACUGAGAUACGGGCCAGACUCCUACGGGAGGCAGCAGUAGGGAAUAUUGGGCAAUGGACGCAAGUCUGACCCAGCCAUGCCGCGUGCAGGAUGAAGGCGUUAUGCGUUGUAAACUGCUUUUAUACAGGAAGAAACGACUCUUGCGAGAGGCAUUGACGGUACUGUAUGAAUAAGCACCGGCUAACUCCGUGCCAGCAGCCGCGGUAAUACGGAGGGUGCAAGCGUUGUCCGGAUUUAUUGGGUUUAAAGGGUGCGCAGGUGGUUUAUUAAGUCAGUGGUGAAAGACGGUCGCUCAACGAUUGCAGUGCCAUUGAAACUGGUAGACUUGAGUAAAGUAGAGGUGGGCGGAAUUGAUAGUGUAGCGGUGAAAUGCAUAGAUAUUAUCAAGAACUCCAACUGCGUAGGCAGCUCACUUGGCUUUUACUGACACUCAUGCACGAAAGUGUGGGUAUCAAACAGGAUUAGAUACCCUGGUAGUCCACACUGUAAACGAUGAUAACUAGGUGUCGGCCGAAUCUGGUCGGUGCCACAGCGAAAGCGUUAAGUUAUCUACCUGGGGAGUACGCCGGCCACGGUGAAACUCAAAGGAAUUGACGGGGGUCCGCACUAGCGGUGGAGCAUGUGGUUUAAUUCGAUGAUACGCGAGGAAC
rnacentral:rRNA from 1 species